UAUGUGAUCGUCUCUCGCAUAUCAAUAAGCGGAGGAAAAGAAACUAACAAGGAUUCCCCUAGUAACGGCGAGUGAAGCGGGAAGAGCUCAAAUUUGAAAUCUUAAAGGGUUUCCCUUUACGAAUUGUAGUUUAAAGAAGUGUUUUCUGUUGAGGUUUUGGUAAAAGUUCUUUGGAAUAGGACAUCAUAGAGGGUGAGAAUCCCGUAUUUGACCUUUACUUUCAACUUUGUGAUACACUUUCAAAGAGUCGGAUUGUUUGGGAAUGCAGUCCAAAAUGGGUGGUAAAUUUCAUCUAAAGCUAAAUAUUGGCGAGAGACCGAUAGCGAACAAGUACCGUGAGGGAAAGAUGAAAAGAACUUUGAAAAGAGAGUUAAACAGUACGUGAAAUUGUCAAAAGGGAAGCGUUUGACACCAGUGUUGUUUUUCUGAAAAUCAAUUAAAGAACUGUUUAUGCUAAGUUGUUUAGACUUUAUCAGCUAUCUGCUUAGUUUUGAGCUUUUCUUUAAUGCACUUUUCAGUUAACAAGUCAACAUCAAUUUCUUUUGCUGUAAAAAAGCUGAGGAAGGUGGCUUGAGAUUCGUCUUAAGUGUUUAUAGCCUCUUGCCUAUGCAGUCGGAGAGAUUGAGGUCUGCAGCGUAGAUCCUUCGGGGCUAAAUGCAUUUGUGCUAAGUUAUAACAUUUUAUAGACAACUUGUUGACUAUGAUUUGUCUUGUAGCUUACUCGCUUAUGUUAUUUUACCUACGCUUAGGAUGUUGAGUAGCGACAUACGCAC
rnacentral:rRNA from 1 species